ACACUCACUUUGGCAGCACAUAUAUUAAAAUUGGAACAAUAUAGAGAUCAGCAUGGCCUCUGUGCAAGGAUGACACGUAAACUUGUGACGCGUUCCAUAUUUUU
ensembl:snRNA U6 U6 spliceosomal RNA